rnacentral:rRNA from 1 species
CCUACGGGAGGCAGCAGUGAGGAAUAUUGGACGAUGGGCGAAAGCCUGAUCCAGCCAUGCCGCGUGCAGGAAGACUGCCCUAUGGGUUGUAAACUGCUUUUGUACGGGAAGAAACACCCCCACGUGUGGGGGCUUGACGGUACCGUAAGAAUAAGCAUCGGCUAACUCCGUGCCAGCAGCCGCGGUAAUACGGAGGAUGCAAGCGUUAUCCGGAAUCAUUGGGUUUAAAGGGUCCGUAGGCGGGCAAUUAAGUCAGAGGUGAAAGUCUGCGGCUCAACCGUAGAACUGCCUUUGAAACUGGUUGUCUUGAAUCGUUGUGAAGUGGUUAGAAUGAGCAGUGUAGCGGUGAAAUGCUUAGAGAUUGCUCAGAAUACCGAUUGCGAAGGCAGAUCACUAACAACGUAUUGACGCUGAGGGACGAAAGCGUGGGGAGCGAACAGGAUUAGAUACCCCGGUAGUCCACGCCGUAAACGAUGGAUACUAGCUGUCCGGUCUUCGGACUGGGUGGCCAAGCGAAAGUGAUAAGUAUCCCACCUGGGGAGUACGUUCGCAAGAAUGAAACUCAAAGGAAUUGACGG